rnacentral:rRNA from 1 species
GACGAACCGUGCGAACGUUGUUCGGAUUCACUGGGCUUAAAGGGCGCGUAGGCGGCUUGUCAAGUCAGGGGUGAAAUCUUUCGGCUCAACCGGAAAACGGCUCCUGAUACUGGCAGGCUUGAGGGAGGUAGGGGCAGAUGGAACUUCCGGUGGAGCGGUGAAAUGCGUAGAUAUCGGAAGGAACGCCGGUGGCGAAAGCGACGUGCUGGACCUCUUCUGACGCUGAGGCGCGAAAGCUAGGGGAGCAAACGGG